rnacentral:rRNA from 1 species
CCUACGGGAGGCAGCAGUAGGGAAUCUUCCACAAUGGGCGAAAGCCUGAUGGAGCAACGCCGCGUGGGUGAAGAAGGUCUUCGGAUCGUAAAACCCUGUUGUUAGAGAAGAAAGUGCGUGAGAGUAACUGUUCACGUUUCGACGGUAUCUAACCAGAAAGCCACGGCUAACUACGUGCCAGCAGCCGCGGUAAUACGUAGGUGGCAAGCGUUAUCCGGAUUUAUUGGGCGUAAAGGGAACGCAGGCGGUCUUUUAAGUCUGAUGUGAAAUCCUUCGGCUUAACCGGAGUAGUGCAUUGGAAACUGGGAGACUUGAGUGCAGAAGAGGAGAGUGGAACUCCAUGUGUAGCGGUGAAAUGCGUAGAUAGAUGGAAGAACACCAGUGGCGAAAGCGGCUCUCUGGUCUGUAACUGACGCUGAGGUUCGAAAGCGUGGGUAGCAAACAGGAUUAGAUACCCCAGUAGUC